rnacentral:snoRNA from 1 species
CACCUCUCAGGAUCGCACCUGUAGAGUUUUCAGUACUCUACCAGUCUCGACUGUGGGAGGGAGAGUCAAGCAGGGGCAUACCCAUUCCAUUUCUGGCUUGACCAGUGGCUAGGGAGUGGAAGGCAAUCUGCUACAAGU